AGGGGUUUAGCUCAGUUGGUAGAGCAUCGGUCUCCAAAACCGAGUGUCGUGGGUUCGAGCCCCUCAACCCCUGCCA
rnacentral:tRNA from 1 species